AACGGGUUGUAGCUGGUCUUUAACGAGACAUGUGCACGCCUGGCUCAUCCACUCUCAACCUCUGUGCACUUUAUGUAAGAAACGGUGUAAGCCAGCUAUCUAAUAGUUGGUAAUAAGCCUUUCUUAUGUUUACUACAAACGCUUCAGUUAUAGAAUGUUUACUGUGUAUAACACAAUUAUAUACAACUUUCAGCAACGGAUCUCUUGGCUCUCGCAUCGAUGAAGAACGCAGCGAAAUGCGAUAAGUAAUGUGAAUUGCAGAAUUCAGUGAAUCAUCGAAUCUUUGAACGCACCUUGCACUCCUUGGUAUUCCGAGGAGUAUGCCUGUUUGAGUCUCAUGGAAUUCUCAACCCCUAAAUUUUGUAAUGAAGUUUAGUGGGCUUGGACUUGGAGGUUGUGUCGGCUUCUAGUCGACUCCUCUGAAAUGCAUUAGCGUGAAUCUUACGGAUCGCCUUCAGUGUGAUAAUUAUCUGCGCUGUGGUGUUGAAGUAUUUAUUAGUUCAUGCUUAUAGUCGUCUCUUACCGAGACAAUUUAUGACAAUCUGAGCUCAAAUCAGGUAGGACUACCCGCUGAACUUAAGCAUAUCAAUAAGCGGAGGAAAAGAAACUAACAAGGAUUCCCCUAGUAACUGCGAGUGAAGCGGGAAAAGCUCAAAUUUAAAAUCUGGCGGCUUUGGUCGUCCGAGUUGUAUUCUAGAGAAGUGUUUUCCGCGUUGGACCGUGUAUAAGUCUCUUGGAACAGAGCGUCAUAGAGGGUGAGAAUCCCGUCUUUGACACGGACUACCAAUGCUUUGUGAUACACUCUCAAAGAGU
rnacentral:rRNA from 1 species